GACAAGCCAAUAAGCAGCACCCCUCUAUGGCCUGUGCAUAGGUUUGUGGUUCCAGGUUCCUGUUUGAGUUCUUGUCCUGACUUCCUUCAGUGAUGAACAGUGAUACAGAAGUAUCCCACAGGUUCUUCUCCUAUAGUGUCAUCCCAGCUGGCUUAAGACCUUGGAGGAUCACUGUAGCUCUGUCACAUUUAAGGUGUCCUCAGACAGCAGAAAACAUCAUCUUUUUGAAGAGUGCUACAAUUUUUCCAGUCACCUCUUAUAACUGCAUGCCAAAGAAGGACUCCAUGAAAGAUGACAGAAGAAGUCAU